CCACAAGCAUUUAUAAAAGGGCGAGGAGUUGGAGACAACAAGCCACAUGUUGAUGAAACAUAAAGGUCAAACUCCCGGUACCGGAUGUAGUUCUUCAGUCGCUCCGGCAACGGCAGAAAACUCAUGAAGACAGGUGAUCGGAGAUGAAGGCGUCCAAGACAACGACGGAUCUUCAGCCGACACAGAUGCUGCAGACAGCGAGCGUUUUCUGAGGAAGAGGAGGAGGAGGAUUGAUGAGCAUCACUUCACUUCACUGUUUUGAGGACCAAUAAAGUUGGAUUUAGUUCACCUUGUAGCCUGCAGAUGUCCGGCCACUCUUGCUGCUCCAUCACAGCCGCCUUCAGUUUGGUGCACAAGGUCACGUGAUCCACGUAGUCCAGCAGGAUCCGAACAAUGUGACCCGAGAGGUGCUUCAGCCAAGAGACUGUGAUCACCUCACAGAACUGCACUGACAGACAGAGACGGCUUAAAGACAAACACCAGUGAUGCUGACGUGCAACGUGAGCGGCAAAAGAAGUUGCUCCCUAAAGGUACAGUGUGUAAGAUUUAGUGACACCUAAUGGUGACAUUGCAGGUGAAUAUCACUCACUACGCCCCUCCCUCCCAAACAUGUGGGAGAACACAUGAGCUGUGGUACAGUCCGGUACGGUUUGGAAUGGUUAAGCCCUGGAUCAGGCUUGUGUCUCGACUGAGAACAGUACCUUUACGUGUUAGGCGGUGUGUGCGCCGUGUGAGUGAGAUACGUAGCGUGACGUACCGCUGCGUGGACAACGGACGCGACACAACAGACAAUAACACAUCAGCAGCUCGGUCUUUUUCUGCUCUGUUUGUUUCAACAGGAAGUCAAACUAUGUGUGAGAAUAGACUGCUGGCGUUGAAGACGCUGACUGUCAUUGGUCUAGCUCGUCCUGUACCUUACCAUUACUCUGGUAACCCCCAAGGUAAGGGUACUGAAAAAAUCGAAGUACUGUUCCAAAAAAGUACAGUUCCAAUCUGUAAAAAUCUGCCAAUGGUAGCCUUCAGUUAAGCAAUAUCACACAAGAGUGUUGUUCAGGGUUAGGGUUAGACUGUGAUGUGGUCGUAAUGCCACACACUGAACCUUUAAAUUACUUUCUUCCUCAUUCUGAUCCUCGGUUUGAUCUUCAGCAGGUCAACUUGACCUUGUCUACAUGCCUACAUGCGUUUAGUUGCUGCCAUGUUCUUGGUUUAAUAGAUAUUCGUGUUGAUGAACAGGUGUACCUAAUAAAAUGGCCACCAUUUUAAAGAUAAAUGAUACAGACACUGAAUUUUCAGGUGUGAAGACACCAGUAAUUCUGUUCUAUAAACACAGGUUGGGGAACUGUUGGGUCCGGGUCAUAUUCAUUACCAUGGUGUCUUUGAUCACAGUGUUGCUCCAUCCCUCAUAGUCGUCAGGUAUAUGGGAGUUGUUGCCGUAGGGACAGUGAAAGCACCGCUCCACGUCGUAACCAUACUUACACAGCAUUCUGAGUACCACCUAACACACACAUACAAAACAGACCAGACUAGGAAUAGUGAAGAAUAUUGUGUAAAAGUGUAAAAGAGACAAGAGACAGUAACUUAAAAUGUAGUAAAACUGAUCAACAGCUGCAGUUUACCUCGUCUUUGAGCGCAUACUGCAGAGCUGAGGGAAAGUGUGUGGUGUUUAUUCUGCAGUAGUAGUUGACGUUGGCUCCAAACCUCAGCAACAGGUCAAUCAAUUCAUAGUUGCCCACACGCAGUGCAACCUAAGUGCAAGACUCAAUGGAUCAGCUACACUGUUGUGACAUAACUGUACAUGUGUGCCUGUUUCACUGUGCCUUGGGGACAAAUAACGUUUUAUGGAAUUGAAUUGAAUUGAAUGGGCUGUUUGUUUCCAACACACACACACCUGCAGACAUUUGAUUGGGUCUUGGUUGGUCAUGGCUCCAGCCUCCAGCAGCAGUUUGGUCGAUGGCACGUCAUUAUUGGAGACUGCGAAGAAGAGAGCUGACUUCCUCUCAUCGUCAAAGCCACGGCGAACCCAGGAGCUGAGCAUAUUGUUGGGAUCAUAACC